UACGUAGGGUCCGAGCGUUGUCCGGGGUUACUGGGCGUAAAGCGCGCGCAGGCGGCGGUGCUGGCCCGGCGUGAAAGCCCCCGGCUCAACCGGGGAGAGUCGUCGGGGACCGCACCGCUUGAGGGCGGUAGGGGCUGGUGGAAUGCCUGGUGUAGUGGUGAAAUGCGCAGAUAUCAGGAAGAACACCAAUGGCGAAAGCAGCUCUCUGGGACGGUACUGACGCUGAGACGCGAAAGCGUGGGGAGCGAACAGG
rnacentral:rRNA from 1 species